UACGUAGGGGGCAAGCGUUGUCCGGAUUUAUUGGGCGUAAAGAGCGUGUAGGCGGCCAUACAGGUCAGCUGUGAAAACUCGAGGCUCAACCUCGAGACGUCGGUUGAAACCGUAUGGCUAGAGUCCGGAAGAGGAGAGUGGAAUUCCCGGUGUAGCGGUGAAAUGCGCAGAUAUCGGGAAGAACACCCGUGGCGAAGGCGGGUCUCUGGGCCGAUAUUGACGCUGAGGAGCGAAAGCGUGGGGAGCAAACAGG
rnacentral:rRNA from 1 species